GGCCAUAUCAUGCUGAAACACUGGUUCUCAUAGAAUCAUCGAAAUUAAGCAACAUCAAGCCUGGUUAGUAGCUAGAUAGGUGACUGCUUGGGAACACCAGGUAAUGCAA